rnacentral:sRNA from 12 species
UGACCUGCUUCAAUUUCGAAGCACAAGGCCAUACGGACAGCUAGGUCUAUUGCCGU